rnacentral:rRNA from 1 species
GACAGAGGGUGCAAACGUUGUUCGGAAUUACUGGGCGUAAAGCGCGUGUAGGCGGCUCUGCAAGUCGGGUGUGAAAUCCCACGGCUCAACCAUGGAAGUGCACUCGAAACUGCAGGGCUAGAGUCCUGGAGAGGAAGGUGGAAUGCUUGGUGUAGAGGUGAAAUUCGUAGAUAUCAAGCGGAACACCGGUGGCGAAGGCAGCACUCUGGGACGGUACUGACGCUGAGACGCGAAAGCGUGGGGAGCGAACAGG